rnacentral:rRNA from 1 species
UACGUAGGGUGCAGGCGUUAAUCGGAAUUACUGGGCGUAAAGCGUGCGCAGGCGGUCUUUUAAGUCAGAUGUGAAAUCCCCGGGCUUAACCUGGGAACUGCGUUUGAAACUGGAAGGCUUGAGUGUGGCAGAGGGGGAGUGGAAUUCCGCGUGUAGCAGUGAAAUGCGUAGAUAUGCGGAGGAACACCGAUGGCGAAGGCAAUCCCCUGGACCUGUACUGACGCUCAUGCACGACAGCGUGGGGAGCAAACAGG